rnacentral:rRNA from 1 species
AUUGAACGCUGGCGGCAGGCUUAACACAUGCAAGUCGAGCGAGCGGCGGACGGGUGAGUAAUGUCUGGGAAACUGGCUGCUGGAGGGGGAUAACAACUGGAAACGGUAGCUAAUAGCGCAUAACAUCAGAUGUGCCCAGAUGGGAUUAGGUAGUUGGUGAGGUAAAGGCUCACCAAGCCGACGAACUCUAGCUGUCAUGAGAGGAUGAACAGCCACUUGGGGACUGUGAUACGGCCCAGACUCCUACGGGAGGCAGCAGUGGGGAAUAGUGCGCAAUGGGGGCAACCCUGACUCAGCCAUGCCGCGUGAAUGAAGAAGGCCUUCGGGUUGUAAAGUUCUUUCGGUAGCGAGGCGUUAACUACAGAAGAAGCACCGGCUAACUCCGUGCCAGCAGCCGCGGUAAUUC